UGAGUCGUCGCUCUCUUUCUUCCUCCGCGGCAUUGGGAAAGGGAACGAGAGGCGAAGCAGAUAAGAAAGAAAGCCAGCCGGCAAGGGGAGCCACACCGGCCGGCGUCGAGAAACCCUAGUGCGAGCGGCUCGACGACCCCUACCACCCUCAUGGCGACCUUCGCUACCGGCAGCGCCACAGCGCGCGCGGCGCUGGCGUCGCCGACUCCGUGCCGGCCGGCCGCGCUCGCCUCGCGCCCGGCGCCGGCGCUGUGGAUGCCGCUGCGCUGCUCGACGCCGGCCCUGGGCCUCAGGGGAGGGUCCGCGCGUUCUCGGCGGGGCGCCACGCUACGGGUGGAGGCUAAGAAGCAAACGUUUUCUUCGUUUGAUGAGUUGCUGGAGAAGUCUGAGAAGCCUUUAUUAGUUGACUUCUAUGCAACUUGGUGUGGUCCAUGCCAAUACAUGGUUCCCAUACUUGAAGAAGUCAGUGAAAAGUUAGGCGACAAAAUUCAAGUUGUGAAAAUUGAUACCGAGAAGUACACUAGCAUUGCAAGUCGUUACAGAAUUGAAGCAUUGCCAACUUUUAUCAUAUUCAAGGAUGGGAAACCUUGCUAUCGCUUUGAAGGAGCAUUGCCUGCAAACCAGAUGAUCGAACAGAUUGAGAAUGCUUUGGCAGUCACGAAGUAGCACAUAUGACCAUGCAAGUGAAUGGAUGCCCAUUGAAUCGUUUGUCACCAAAGGAAGUGGCACUGCUGUGGAUACCUGAGAGGCGAGAUAGUUCUUCUGGCUCUAUUCACCCAAAGGCAUCAGUUGAAUACGAGUGCCAUACUUGUUUUUGCAAUAUGUCCUGUUGUAAAGAAGUCCUCAUCCUGAUUACGGAGAAUCUGAAAUGAGAUUAAGAGUCCAUUUUCUUUUCAGUUUUCACAUGGAAGAUAUACAUUUUUUAUUUAAAGAAACAAAUAAAGGGGACGUACUUAUUCUUUGACA